rfam:Dipodomys ordii contig_12757, whole genome shotgun sequence.
GGUGGCUCAGUGGUAGAGCUCUUGCCUUGCAAGCUAGAGGCCCUGGGUUCGAUUCCUCAGCACCA